GACGAACGCUGGCGGCGUGCCUAAUACAUGCAAGUUGAGCGCUGAAGGUUGGUACUUGUACCGACUGGAUGAGCAGCGAACGGGUGAGUAACGCGUGGGGAAUCUGCCUUUGAGCGGGGGACAACAUUUGGAAACGAAUGCUAAUACCGCAUAAAAACUUUAAACACAAGUUUUAAGUUUGAAAGAUGCAAUUGCAUCACUCAAAGAUGAUCCCGCGUUGUAUUAGCUAGUUGGUGAGGUAAAGGCUCACCAAGGCGAUGAUACAUAGCCGACCUGAGAGGGUGAUCGGCCACAUUGGGACUGAGACACGGCCCAAACUCCUACGGGAGGCAGCAGUAGGGAAUCUUCGGAAAUGGACGAAAGUCUGACCGAGCAACGCCGCGGGAGUGAAGAAGGUUUUCGGAUCGUAAAACUCUGUUGGUAGAGAAGAACGUUGGUGAGAGUGGAAAGCUCAUCAAGUGACGGUAACUACCCAGAAAGGGACGGCUAACUACGUG
rnacentral:rRNA from 1 species